AUUUAUAAAUGAUUAAUACAAGUUUAUCUUUUAAAAUUUCAGGAAGAAAUGAGAAAAGAAAUUAAUGAUGCUGCAAAGUCAUAGAGUUCUCAAGGUUCUACUUCUUGGAAAGUAGAUGUACACUCUAAAGUGCAAGGAUCUGAGAAAAAGGGACGUGUGCGGUGCUUGGGAAGGUUACCUACAAUGAAAGUUCUAAGGCUCCAUCAUCUUAAUCUGCGGAUAUUCAAAAGGUUUAACAAAUGAAAGAUCAAAUUCAAGGCUUACAAGGAUUGGUUUCUGAUAUGGUAGCACUGUUACAGAGUAAGUUUCUUGAUGAGCAUAUUACCAAUAUCUCAAAUGCAACAAACCAAGAAAGAAAUCUAGAGAUACUGCUGGUGCUCUAGAUAAUUCUCCACAUCUUCACUCCACAUAUUCGAGUUGUCCAUUUAACUGGUACGUUCUCGGUUUUUGAGAGAUAAGUUUGUAAUUUUCUAUUUGAGGUUUUAGAGUUUUGGUACUAUUUACAUUAAUAAAAUAGAUUAUUAAGUUGUGUUGGAACUAUGUAAUUUUAAAAUUCCAUUGAACUUGUGCAUGUUUUAAAAAUGUGGAUGUUUGGAACUAGUGGAGUUAACUAAUUAUAUUUUAUUUUAAGGAAAUGUUAUAUAUUUGAUUAUUUCAA